rnacentral:rRNA from 1 species
GACAGAGGCCCCAAGCGUUAGGCGGAAUCACUGGGCUUAAAUCGUGUGUAGGCGGAUCGUUAAGUGUCUUGUGAAAUCCCACGGCUCACCCGUGGAACUGCUGGGCAUACUGGCGAUCUUGGGCCAACUAGGGGCAGUCGGAACAAGCGGUGGAGCGGUGAAAUGCGUAGAUAUCGCUUGGAACGCCGAAGGUGAAAACAGACUGCUGGGGUUGCGCCGACGCUGAGACGCGAAAGCCAGGGGAGCAAACGGG